UCAAAAUAUGAGAUGAGCAAUUAGCACUCCCCUUGAUGAGGAUGGAAGAGGUCCUUGUGGUCUGUACAACAUGCAUAGAAUUAAUACACUGUCACUUACUUCGUGGCAGCUAACCAUGUUUGG
rfam:Colius striatus contig97938, whole genome shotgun sequence.